ensembl:snoRNA small nucleolar RNA SNORA40
UGUGUGUGUGUGUGUGUGUUGACUUGGUUGAUGCAGAAGACACAAGAAAACAGGCGCAGGGAUAAAUCCUCAUUUGCAACCCGGAACCCACUGUUCAGUGUGAGUUUGGAUACACUUGGAGAAGUAUUUU